rnacentral:rRNA from 1 species
AUUGAACGUUGGCGGUGUGCCUAAUACAUGCAAGUCGAACGGUGGUUAUUUUGUAGUAAUACGAAGUGAUCAUAGUGGCGAACGGGUGAGUAACGCGUUGGUGAUCUGCCUCGAAGUGUGGAAUAACGUUCCGAAAGGAACGCUAAUACCGCAUGUGCUCUCGAUUUUUAGAAAGUUGAGCGUAAAGGAUUUAUUCGCUUCGAGAGGAGCCUGCGUCCCAUCAGCUAGUUGGUAGGGUAAUAGCCUACCAAGGCUUUGACGGGUAAGGGACCUGAGAGGGUUGUCUCCCACAAUGGAACUGAAACACGGUCCAUACACCUACGGGUGGCAGCAGUAGGGAAUCUUAGAAAUGGCCUAAAGUCUGAUCUAGCGACACCGCGUGUGCGAUGAAGGCCCUCGGGUUGUAAAGCCCUUUUUGGAAGGAAUAGGAAGGAAGGUACUUCCAGAAUAAGUCUCGGCUAACUACGUGCCAGCCGCCGCCGUAAAAC